rnacentral:rRNA from 1 species
CUCGAAUCACGAGCACCACCCUCCCCCUUACCGCCGAGAUGUCCCC